rnacentral:misc_RNA from 1 species
GAUGAAGAACGUAGCGAAAUGCGAUAAGUAAUGUGAAUUGCAGAAUUCGGUGAAUCAUCGAAUCUUUGAACGCACAUUGCGCCCGCCAGUAUUCUGGCGGGCAUGCCUGUUCGAGCGUCAUUUCAACCAUCAAGCCCUGCUUGCGUUGGGGUCCUGCGGCUGCCCGCAGGCCCUGAAAACCAGUGGCGGGCUCGCUAGUCACACCGAGCGCAGUAAUACAUCUCGCUUUGGGCGUGCGGCGGGUUCUUGCCGUUAAACACCCCCUUUUUACCAAGGUUGACCUCGGAUCAGGUAGGAAUACCCGCUGAACUUAAGCAUAUCAAUAAGCGGAGGA